AUUGAACGCUGGCGGCAUGCCUAACACAUGCAAGUCGAACGAACCCUUCGGGGUUAGUGGCGCACGGGUGCGUAACGCGUGGGGAUCUGCCCAAAGGUUCGGAAUAACUCAGAGAAAUUUGAGCUAAUACCGGAUAAUGUCUUCGGACCAAAGAUUUAUUGCCUUUGGAUGAACCCGCGUAGGAUUAGCUUGUUGGUGGGGUAAAGGCCUACCAAGGCGACGAUCCUUAGCUGGUCUGAGAGGAUGAUCAGCCACACUGGGACUGAGACACGGCCCAGACUCCUACGGGAGGCAGCAGUGGGGAAUAUUGGACAAUGGGCGAAAGCCUGAUCCAGCAAUGCCGCGUGAGUGAUGAAGGCCUUAGGGUUGUAAAGCUCUUUUACCAGGGAUGAUAAUGACAGUACCUGGAGAAUAAGCUCCGGCUAACUCCGUG
rnacentral:rRNA from 1 species